rnacentral:ncRNA from 1 species
UAUAAUCACUAGGGGUGUUAUAUAACUGAGAUGAGUGUUUACUCAAACCCUUUGAACCUGAACUAGUUAAAACUAGCGUAGGAAAGUGUAGAUUUCAUUAC